rnacentral:rRNA from 1 species
UGGGGAAUUUUGGACAAUGGGCGAAAGCCUGAUCCAGCAAUGCCGCGUGUGUGAAGAAGGCCUUCGGGUUGUAAAGCACUUUUGUCCGGAAAGAAAUCCUUGGCUCUAAUACAGUCGGGGGAUGACGGUACCGGAAGAAUAAGCACCGGCUAACUACGUGCCAGCAGCCGCGGUAAUACGUAGGGUGCAAGCGUUAAUCGGAAUUACUGGGCGUAAAGCGUGCGCAGGCGGUUUGCUAAGACCGAUGUGAAAUCCCCGGGCUCAACCUGGGAACUGCAUUGGUGACUGGCAGGCUAGAGUAUGGCAGAGGGGGGUAGAAUUCCACGUGUAGCAGUGAAAUGCGUAGAGAUGUGGAGGAAUACCGAUGGCGAAGGCAGCCCCCUGGGCCAAUACUGACGCUCAUGCACGAAAGCGUGGGGAGCAAACAGGAUUAGAUACCCUGGUAGUCACGCCCUAAACGAUGUCAACUAGUUGUUGGGGAUUCAUUUCCUUAGUAACGUAGCUAACGCGUGAAGUUGACCGCCUGGGGAGUACGGUCGCAAGAUUAAAACUUAAAGGAAUUGACGGGGUCAU